CCUACGGGCGGCAGCAGUGGGGGAUAUUGCACAAUGGGGGGAACCCUGAUGCAGCGACGCCGCGUGGGUGAAGGAGUGCUUCGGCAUGUAAAGCCCUAUCGGCAGGGAAGAAGCAAGACGGUACCUGACUAAGAAGCCCCGGCUAACUACGUGCCAGCAGCCGCGGUAAUACGUAGGGGGCGAGCGUUAUCCGGAUUCACUGGGUGUAAAGGGAGCGUAGACGGCCAUGCAAGCCAGGGGUGAAAGCCCGGGGCCCAACCCCGGGACUGCCCUUGGAACUGGUAGGCUAGAGUGCGGGAGGGGCAGGCGGAAUGCCUGGUGUAGCGGUGAAAUGCGUAGAUAUCAGGAGGAACACCGGCGGCGAAGGCGGCCUGCUGGACCGCGACUGACGUUGAGGCUCGAAAGCGUGGGGAGCGAACAGGAUUAGAUACCCUAGUAGUC
rnacentral:rRNA from 1 species